ACUACUGCUUUGGUGACCAAGAAUAGUAUGUCUGUGAACUAAAAACAACUUUAAAUUUUGUAAUUGCUUUCCUGCUAGUGCAGGAAUUACAAUUUUCUCCUCUGCAGAAAAUCAUUAACUGAGAAUUGCACCCAGCUUGUAAACUUCUCAACUAUGAGCAGUUCCAUGGAGGAGUCAUUUACAGUAAAGUGUUAAACAUGUAUGCAAAUGUUUGCAAAAGAUGAGCCUAAGAUAAUUUGUCUCUGAAUGCACUUGAUUAUUUCAAACUAAUUUGUAUAAUGAAGGCUCAAAAUUUCAUUUACACAUAUAUGUUCUUUUGAUGUUGUUUUUUUGUGUAAGGCAGUAAUAUAAUUUUAUUUUAACAUUCUUGUUUGACACUAUUCUCUUGCUUGUAUAACCAGCACCAACAGAACAUGAGGAAAUAAAAAAAUGGACCUCAAGUCCUGCCAAGUUUUCAUCAAAAGUUUAGAAAGAAUCUCAAGCAGCAGAAAAUAAAUCUUGGCCUAAAGAUGAGCUGUUAACAUAUAAUAAGCAGGUGAAGCAGGUAAGCAGGUUUGGUACUAUUGUGAGAUGGUAUUGUUUUUCCCAUGCUUAGGGUCUUGAUACUUCAUAGCAUGCAGAGGUCUGCAAGCUGUUUCUUUACCACCUGCUCUUUAAAAGAAGAUUUUCUAUAAAACAGGUCUUCAUACUGGUCUUGCAGCUUAAGGUUAGAGGGAAAAACAAAUUAAGGUUCAUUCGGUCAGAUGUUGGGUUAGGCUUUUCUUUGUGAGAUUGGAAAGAAGAUUAUACAUGGAACAAUGUAUAAAUAGAAUCCUAAUCUACAUUUAACAAGUGUAUGCCUUCCUAGAAGAUAGUUUAAUGCUCAAUAUCCUUUUUAUUUUUGUGAUAUUUCUCAUGACAAAAACUGUCAUUAGUAUAUCAAUUCUAUAAAGCUUAGAUUUUUCAGUAGAUGACAUGUAUCAAGUGUUUAUAGACAGUAGUUGACAACACAUUUGUUGUCAAGAUGGAAUAAUAUCUUUUCUCAUGUGUUGUAAAUUUUUAGCAUUCUAAUAUUCCAAAGCUAUAACCAGAAACUAAAAUAAAACCUUAACUUAAUUCCUUUUGCAGCUUUGAUGUAAAAGAUUACUUUGCCUUAAAAUUUUUAUUUACACUUGCUGUGAAACAAAUAACACUAUUUAUUACAUUCACAAUGAUAAAAUGAGAAAGACAACCAAGAAUGGGAUAUGUUUCUACUGGGCAGUGUUAUGUGUAGAGGUACCAGACACUUUUGGCCUAAGCUUAAACAAAUGAGAUGGACAAGGUUGGAAAAGCUACAUGGGAACACAGAUGCAGGUGUUGAGAAGACAAAAAAUCAGAAUGAAAAGAGGAUGAGACAGACACACAUGGAAUGCUUUUUGAUGGCCCAGUAUUUGUGAGUUUGUUAUUUCAAGGUCUAGUCAUCAUAAAACAGAGGUCUAGUAAAAAUGAUAAAACAUCUGAAUGUCUAAGGGCCUUGUUUCAGUUUCUUUUUUAGCUCCUUCCACUGACUGUAGCUUGGCCCAGUGUCUCUUCAAGCUGAGUGGAAAAAGGCAUGGAGAGAGGUGGGCAUGUGCCUAGAAUUCUGGAGCAUUAGCAACCAACUUUCCCGGUCAGCCAAGAUCCAAAGAUACACACAGUUUAUUCUGAAGAGUGAGGGACAGUGAAGCUCUGGGAGUGAGAUGAAGUAUCGAGUCACAGGGAGGUGACAGAUAUUCCCCAUCAGUCCUGGCACUCCAUUCUGCCAUGGGGCUACAGUGGACAUGCAGUAUAGCCCUAAGCCACCUGAGCAUCUUCAGCUGGCAGGCUUUCUUCUACAGAGAAGGAUUAAUAUUUCCUAGCAGCUUUUGUGGUAGCAAAAUUACUCCUGUUAAAUGGCUUACAGUUCUGUUGAAGAAAAUUAAUGACAAUUAAAUUAUAUUACUUAAAAAAAAAUCUUCUAAAUUAAAAAAAAAAAGGUUUUUUUUGAAAUUUUCCUUACAACAUUUGUCUGUUUACAGGUCAGAAAUGUUUCCAGCACUUUACCAGAAGUAAAAUAUUUCAGAAAUCUCAUUUGCCAUCUGUACUUGAUUAUAAUGUUUCUUAUAAUUAAUAUUAAUCAUAAAACAUUCUGUUUUGAAAAAACCUCUAUGACCAUUAACCUAACACUGCCAAGUGCUUCACUAAGCCAUGUCCCUGAAUGCCACCUCUACACUUCUUUCAAAUGCCUCCAGGAAUGCCUCUUCCUUGGGCAGCCUGUUCCAAAGAUUGACAAACCUAUCUGUGAAGACGUUUUUCCUCAUAUCCAAUCUAAACCUCCCCUGGUGCAACCUGAUGCCAUUUCGUUUUGUCCUCAUGCUUGUUACCUGGGAGAAGAGACUGACUCCCACCUCACUCCAACCUCCUUUCAGGUAGUUGCAGAGAGUGGUAAGGUUUCCUCAGUCCCUUAUCCCCAGACUAAUCAACCCCAGCUCCCUCAGCCACUCCUCACAAGACCUGUGCUCCAGAUGGUUCAUGAGUUUUGCUGUUCUUUGGACACACUCCAGCCCCUCAAUGUCUUUCUUGCAGUGAGUGGCCCAGAACUGGACAAAGGACUUGAGGUGUGGCCUUACCAGUGUCCAGUACCGGGAACAAUCCCUGCCCUGGUCCUGCUGGCCACGCUAAUAUGGGCCAGGUGCCACUGGCCUUCUUGGCCACCUGGGCACACACUGGAUGAUGUCCAGCCACUGUUGACUGGCACCUCCAGGCCCUUUUCCACUGGGCUGCUUUCUAGCUACUCUGGCCCAAUCCACUAGCACUGCCUGGGGUUAUUGUGACACAAGGGCAAGAUGGUGACUGAAAUCUGAGAUGAUUUACCUUAUGGAAACUCAUACAACUGAUCUUGGCCCAUUGAUCCAGCCUGUCCAGAUCUCUCUCUAGAACCUUCCUACCCUCAGGCAAUGCACCCCAUCCCCUCAUCAAGAUCAUCAAUAAAGAUAUUUAACAGGCCUGACACCAAUAGUGAGGCCAGGCAAACAGCACCAGUGACAGGCCACCAGGUGGGUGUAACACCACCACUCUCUGGGCUUGGCCAUCAAGCCAGUUUUUAUCCAGUGAAAAAUGCAUCUGUCCAAACCAUGAGCAGCCAGUUUCUCCAUGAGAAUGCUGUGGGAAAUGGUGUAAAAAUCUUGACUAAAGUCCAGGAACACAACAUCGACUGCCUUUACCUCACACCAAACAGGACAUAUUGUCACAGGAGAUUAGGUGAGUCAAACAGGACCUGCCUUUCACAAACCCAUGCUGGUUAAGCUUGAUCCCCUGGUUGUAUGUGCCACGUGAUGGCAUUUAAGAUGAUUUUCUCCAUGACCUUUCUGGGCACCAAGGCUAACAGGCCUGUAGUUCCCUGGAUCCUCCUUCAGUCCCCUCCUGUACAUGAGCGUAACAUUUACUGCCUCUCAGUCAGCUGGGAUCUCCCUGGUUAGCCAGGAGUGCUGGUAAAUAGUUACAAGCUGUCUGGUGAGCACUUCCAACAGUUCCCUCAGUACUUUUGGGUGGAUCCCAUCUGUCCCCACAAACUUUUUUCUGUCUAAGUGAUGUAUCAGGUCACUGAUGUUCUCCCCUUGGAUUAUGGAGGCUUCAUUUUGUCUUUCAGGUUGCGAGGCUUGGUACAUGGAGAGGAGCCGGUCUUACUGCCAGAGAGUGAGGCAAAUAAGGCAUUAAUGACAAUGUCUGUAGGUAGUUUGAAGAGUAUACUCUGCAACAUCAAUUAAUCUGUUGGUUGCUAAUCUAAAUAUGUAUAAACAAUACACAGUGCAGUGUCAUUGAUGGUUAUUUUUAUAAUAUUAAAGAAUAUAGCAAGAUUAAUUAUUACUUCUAAAUUAUAGAGUACUAUUCAACAACAAAACUGUUUCAUUUAACAAUACUGGGAUGCUGUGAUGAUAUUUUUUAGACAGUAUUAAAUAUUUUGAGCAGCUCAGUAUUUUGGUAAUAUAUGGGUGCUAUUGUUGCAACAAUGCUCAUCAAUGUGUGUUCAAUGAUCUUACAAGAGAAAGUUAUUUGCAAGAUUUGCACCUGAAAAGAUAACAUACAUUUGGUUGUAUUUAACACAAAUACUACAUAAUUCAAGUCUAUUAUUCAAGUUGAAAGUGCAUGCUUUUACACACAGAAAGAUGAAUGGAGAUAAAUUUUUAGAAAAAGAGAAAUAGUUUUAAAAACUCAUAUGAACUAGCUAAAUGCUCUAAUGCUCUAAUGUGGCAGAACUAUUUUUAAAGAAAUUAAUUACAAUGUACUAUAUAUUCAUAUUUCUGUGAAGACUAUUCAUUGUCAUGUUGUUGUGAUGUAUGAUUUCAAAAUUAUUUUUCUUUGCUUGGUGGGCUGAAAAGCCUAUGCAUUUUCAAGAAAAAUGGAUUGAUUGUGCAGAUGAACUUGCAAAUUUGAUUAUACACAAAGAAGUCAGAGGAAGAAAUGCAGAUAUUUGCUUUAGUCACUGAAAUCUUUUGUUACAUUUGUAACUGAAUUACAUAAAUAUUUUUAUUUUAAAAGUUGUGUGCUAGUUUUCUGGUUUUCUACAAAGAAAAUUGAAAAUGAGGUUUUAUAAAUUCAAAGUGCCCAUGUAAUAGUAAGUGUGCUGGGUAAUGUUCUCUGAUUUUAGUUUUAAGGGAAUUCCUCUCUGCUUAGUAUAGCCUCCAUUAUUCAUUAACAAGAGAGUGUUGAAGUCCCCCUCCAUGGUGUGUUUCACAAAACAGGUGAGAUCACAGAGCUUUGAAUCACAAUUUUAAAGUAACAGCUGCUGUAAUUUUAGUUUUGACUGUUUCAAUAAGCUAUAUUGGUGUCUAAGACAUCACAUGUUUUUGAGUAUCUUCUGUUUCUUUGGAUAUCACUUGCAAUGGCUUUUAAAAAAAUGAUUUAGUAUUGAGACAAUUCAAAAGCUGGAAAUGGCAAUGAAUCAAGUCACUUUUCGUCCUUUAAAUUUGACAAGAGAUUGUGAUGGAAACUUAUGUGACAUUCAAAAUCAUAGUCUCAUAUUUGGUUCAUAUUAUUGAUACAUUUUCAGCUAGACAUAUUACUUUAAAGCUUUUCUGUAUUCUGGAAUUUUGCUAGCUUAUUGUCUCUGUGUGAAAUUUUCAUCAGCUUUCAGUUUCUCUGCUACACAUUAAAUGUCUGACUUUGUUCCUUUGUAUUUUUUUUCAUGUAUAUGCUGACAUAGACUGUGGUGUUUGUUUCAAAAAUAAACUGACAACAUAUGAAGCAAUUUUAAUUUUGAAUAACACUUUUCACAAUGUAGUGACUCAUUUAGGUAUCUUCUACAGUUCUCAGUAUUUUUUACUAUUUUAUUUAUGUUCUUGCUUAUUAAAUAUAAGUUUCCACAAUUUUUUCCUGAAGUAACUCCUUCUAGAAACUUAAAUACUGUUGAAGUUGUCAAUAAAUAUAGAUACUGUUCACAGUUGUGUUCUGGGAUAAAUAAAGCUUGUGAAUGGAAAAAGAAGAGUAAAAUUCUAUGGUUUUAUCAUUAAUUCAACCAGAUAAGUGACUGAAAUCUAAAUUAGAAAGGCAAUUUUCUUGAAAUAAUUGUGUUCUUUGGGUUUCUAUAGAUUGAGAUAGACAGCCUUCCCAGACUUACAGAAGUAAUUUGCCAUGGUGUAGCAGGAGGAGAUGGGCCCAAAAGCGGACCUGCUUUUUAUGUUGAGAUAGACUUUUUUUCAAAAUAAAGCACUUCAAAUUAUAUUUUC